CCAGUCAACAGAUUCUGUGCUAUGGGCUUUCACCCAACCCCGUCAGGACCGGAAGGUAGCAGCGGUAAGUGAAUUGCCCAUGAGACACAGGCGAUUUGUUGGCUGGGUUUU
rnacentral:SRP_RNA from 1 species